CACCUUAAAACCAUGGACUGUCUCUUCUCAUCAGGAUCCACUAUGCUGGUAGAGGCUUUAUUGGCAACCAUCGCAUAGAUCAUAAGUCCGUUGGACCAAAGAUGCAGAAAGAACUGAUUCUUCUAUUGCCAGAACCAACAAAUCACACAUCAGCCAUGGUUCACAUGGGAUGGAAGCUGUAUUUCUAGAUCCUAGAAGGGCUUUGUGAACCAUAAAGGUCAAUAAAUAUUGAAUGAAGGAACAAGCAAGCUAAUGAGUUCUCAGUGAUGCCUCACGUAGAUUCUGGAAUGACUUCAGAACCCAAGCUGCCAUGUGCCUGUGGCAAUCUGAAGCAAUGCUGUGUCUAUCUGCAGUGCCCUCUCUCCGACACAGCCUUCCCUCUGGCCCCGGCUAAAGAACAGUUUCUGCAAUCUCCUCCUCUUCUAUUGUUUUAUUUCUCAAAUUAAAUGAUUAACCAUCUUC